GCCGAGGUGGCGGAACUGGCAGACGCGCCGGCCCUAGGAGCCGGUGGGAGUAAUCCCAUGAGAGUUCGACCCUCUCCCUCGGCACCA
rnacentral:tRNA from 1 species